rnacentral:lncRNA from 1 species
GCUUGAGCAAACUCGAGACAUAAUUAACCAGCCGAAGCAGAGAAACGGGGUGCUCGAGCUGGUCCCACCGCAGCUGUCCGGAUCCUUUUGGAGGCACCUGUUUUCUUUCAUUUUUUUUCAACAAAAAAACCUGGAUUUGCAGGAACGAUGCCGGGAUCGUUUGUCGCUGUGACUGUUGCUUUGGUUUGGCGGCGGCGCCACGUUUCUGGGCAGAAACAUCUCCAAAACGGGAACGCAACUCAUUUAACUCUUCUCACCUCUUUCUGGGCCGAUACCCUCGUUUUCCCGGCUUUGCGGCAAAAGCCGGCGGUAAAAAUAGGACGUUCCGAAUCUUGCCUCUUUCCCUGCUGGGAAAACCGGGGUUGAAGGAGCGGGUGAGGCCGCGGCCGCUCAGUGUCACCUAGCAGAG